GACGAACGCUGGCGGCGUGCUUAACACAUGCAAGUCGAACGGAAAGGCCCUGCUUUUGUGGGGUGCUCGAGUGGCGAACGGGUGAGUAACACGUGAGUAACCUGCCCUUGACUUUGGGAUAACUUCAGGAAACUGGGGCUAAUACCGGAUAGGAGCUCCUGCUGCAUGGUGGGGGUUGGAAAGUUUCGGCGGUUGGGGAUGGACUCGCGGCUUAUCAGCUUGUUGGUGGGGUAGUGGCUUACCAAGGCUUUGACGGGUAGCCGGCCUGAGAGGGUGACCGGCCACAUUGGGACUGAGAUACGGCCCAGACUCCUACGGGAGGCAGCAGUGGGGAAUAUUGCACAAUGGGCGGAAGCCUGAUGCAGCAACGCCGCGUGCGGGAUGACGGCCUUCGGGUUGUAAACCGCUUUCGCCUGUGACGAAGCGUGAGUGACGGUAAUGGGUAAAGAAGCACCGGCUAACUACGUGCCAGCAGCCGCGGUGAUACGUAGGGUGCGAGCGUUGUCCGGAUUUAUUGGGCGUAAAGGGCUCGUAGGUGGUUGAUCGCGUCGGAAGUGUAAUCUUGGGGCUUAACCCUGAGCGUGCUUUCGAUGCGGGUUGACUUGAGGAAUUUAGGGGAGAAUGGAAUUCCUGGUGGAGCGGUGGAAUGCGCAGAUAUCAGGAGGAACACCAGUGGCGAAGGCGGUUCUCUGGGCCUUUCCUGACGCUGAGGAGCGAAAGCGUGGGGAGCGAACAGGCUUAGAUACCCUGGUAGUCCACGCUGUAAACGGUGGGUACUAGGUGUGGGGUCCAUUCCACGGGUUCCGUGCCGUAGCUAACGCUUUAAGUACCCCGCCUGGGGAGUACGGCCGCAAGGCUAAAACUCAAAGGAAUUGACGGGGCCCCGCACAAGCGGCGGAGCAUGCGGAUUAAUUCGAUGCAACGCGUAGAACCUUACCUGGGUUUGACAUGGAUCGGGAGUGCUCAGAGAUGGGUGUGCCUCUUUUGGGGUCGGUUCACAGGUGGUGCAUGGCUGUCGUCAGCUCGUGUCGUGAGAUGUUGGGUUAAGUCCCGCAACGAGCGCAACCCUUGUUCACUGUUGCCAGCACGUUAUGGUGGGGACUCAGUGGAGACCGCCGGGGUCAACUCGGAGGAAGGUGGGGAUGACGUCAAGUCAUCAUGCCCCUUAUGUCCAGGGCUUCACGCAUGCUACAAUGGCUGGUACAGAGAGUGGCGAGCCUGUGAGGGUGAGCGAAUCUCGGAAAGCCGGUCACAGUUCGGAUUGGGGUCUGCAACUCGACCUCAUGAAGUCGGAGUCGCUAGUAAUCGCAGAUCAGCAACGCUGCGGUGAAUACGUUCCCGGGGCU
rnacentral:rRNA from 1 species